rnacentral:tRNA from 1 species
GCGUAGGUGAGCCGAGUAGCGAAGGCAGCGGGCUGUAAAUCCGUGACGUAAGAUACAACGCUGGUGCAAUUCCAGCCCUACGCACCA